UACGUAGGGUGCAAGCGUUAAUCGGAAUUACUGGGCGUAAAGCGUGCGCAGGCGGUGAUGUAAGACAGAUGUGAAAUCCCCGAGCUCGACUUGGGAACUGCAUUUGUGACUGCAUCGCUGGAGUGCGGCAGAGGGGGAUGGAAUUCCGCGUGUAGCAGUGAAAUGCGUAGAUAUGCGGAGGAACACCGAUGGCGAAGGCAAUCCCCUGGGCCUGCACUGACGCUCAUGCACGAAAGCGUGGGGAGCAAACAGG
rnacentral:rRNA from 1 species